UUUCGGGAGGGUGAGCGGGCCGCGGGUGGGUUGUCAGAGUGUGUUUGAAAGACGAAGCGCAUCAGCAUUAUUGAAGUUCAGACUGAUCUUCAAGUUGAUGGUUCAUAACUUGCAUUGCGGUCCCCCUGGGGAUGACGUCAGGAGUAGGCCCUGGGCGUCUGCCCGUCACCUGAGGGGGACUCUGCUCCGGCCAACCCCACCUCUGAAGGAAAAGGCUAAAAUCAAGACUCCUGUUUAAGCAGCAAUGAGGCGUUACCUGCCAGUACCUGCAGGCUCAGUCAGCAUGACACCUGGAGAAGACCUCUUCCUUGUUGUGCUGCACAAGUAGUAGAGCUUAGUGCACAAUAAUCCUGUGUGGGUAUGGUUGGAGGGGGAUGGGCUGUCUGUGUGAAAAGGGUGAAAAGACACGGGCCUUGGAGUGCAGACCUGUCUGAAUUAACUUAACGGGCAGAAGAGGGACUCCUGAAGCCACUGAAGGAAGGAAAUCAUUACAGGGUUCUACAGAAGUAGGUCAUGUGCUACAGCUGCUCAUAGUUUAAGAGGAAGAAACAUGGGACCUCAAACAUGGAACAUGACUCCUUCAAAAUGCUUGAGAGCAACCCAAGAAAAACAUCC